UACGGGGGGGGUAAGCGUUGUUCGGAAUUACUGGGCGUAAAGGGCUCGUAGGCGGCCAACUAAGUCAGACGUGAAAUCCCUCAGCUUAACUGGGGAACUGCGUCUGAUACUGGAUGGCUUGGAUUCGGGAGAGGAAUGCGGAAUUCCAGGUGUAGCGGUGAAAUGCGUAGAUAUCUGGAGGAACACCGGUGGCGAAGGCGGGUCUCUGGGCCGAUACUGACGCUGAGGCAGCGAAAGCGUGGGGAGCGAACAGG
rnacentral:rRNA from 1 species